rnacentral:rRNA from 1 species
GGUAUGGGAUGAGCUUGCGUCCGAUUAGCUAGUUGGCGGGGCAACGGCCCACCAAGGCGACGAUCGGUAGCCGGCCUGAGAGGGCGAUCGGCCACAUUGGGACUGAGAUACGGCCCAGACUCCUACGGGAGGCAGCAGUAGGGAAUAUUGCACAAUGGGGGAAACCCUGAUGCAGCAAUGCCACGUGUGGGAAGAAGCAUUUCGGUGUGUAAACCACUGUCGUGAGGGAAUAAGGCAUUGUUUCGGCGAUGUUGAAUGUACCUCGAAAGGAAGCACCGGCAAACUUCGUGCCAGCAGCCGCGGUAAUACGAGGGGUGCAAGCGUUGUUCGGAAUCGCUGGGCGUAAAGGGAGCGUAGGCGGAGAUGCAAGCAGUCUGUACAAUACCGGGGCCCAACCCCGGACCUGCAGACCGGACUGUGUCUCUUGGAUAGUUCAGGGGCAGGC